rnacentral:lncRNA from 1 species
CCGCGCGCAAGGCCCGCCAAAGUGCAACGCUUCAAUCUUCACAUAGCCAUCUCCAACUGCACAUGGCCAGCAAAUCCUCACGUGGGCCCGCGCCAUUUCACGCCUUCCACACAUCCCUUUCACGCCAUGGAUCAGCGCAACGGGCCCCGCCACUUCAACAUGCUAGCACUUCACCAGCACGUGGACCGCAGCACUUCCCCAUUCUCACGCACCC